UUACGGCCAUAUGACGUUGAAAUCCCGGUUCCCGUACAAUCACCGAAGUUAAGCAAAGUUGAGUUUGGUCAGUAUCUCGAUGGGCGACCACUUGGAAAUACCAGGUGCUGUAAG